rnacentral:lncRNA from 1 species
CGGCUGCCUGCGCCGGACUGGAGAGCGCGGAGGGCCGACCUGACCCGCCGAAAGGGCCUGAGGCGAGGGGAGCCCGGGUCCCGGGGCCUUGGGGAAGGACCCGCAGCCGCACGCCGGCCCCAAGUGCAAAGCAUUGACACGACCCCGAGCGGAGAGGGGGCGCCCUCCUUCUCCCGCGCCCAGAGGCCCGGCCGCUCUGGCCCGAGCCCCAGCCUGGCCUCCGACCCAGCUCCGGGUCGUGGCGCCGCCUGGGGGUCCCUGCGCCCCGGAAAGAGACAGCAGGCACUGGAAAGCGAGGCCGGUGGGCGGGCGAGUCGGGAGGCUCGGGCGGCCGAGGUCCGGGAGCGGAUCCCAGGUGGCGGGAGCUGUUGCCACGCUGGCUCCCACCGGCCUCUUUCCAGAUCAUGAAGGUAUUUUUCCUUCAUCAAAUUGAGAGGAAGUCCGUAGUAAAGCUGCCCGUUGACCAGGUAGUGCCGAGAGAAUCGGUGCCCUGGCAGGAGGGACUGGCUUAUGCCACCCUGUGCAGGAUCGUCUUCUCAGCUUACAGAGCCUAGUGUGAUUCAACAACCCUCCAUCUCUGCCCCCAACAUGCCCAACUGAUCUGGUGGAGGGAACUGAAGAUGAAGGCCUCUCAGGCACCAUGGAUGGGAUGGGUGUGUGUGAAGGGGGCAGGGUCCCCAGGAGCUGCCCCAGGUCUGGCUGGACAGUUGCACGGGAAGUCCUGUUUGUGAACUCAACGUUUCCACGGCUUUUCCAUUAAACUUUACCCCAAAUCAC